rnacentral:piRNA from 1 species
UACAAAGGCAUUAACAUGGAGGCAUUGA